rnacentral:tRNA from 1 species
CAUGGUAGACGUAGUUUAUGUAAAACACUAGAUUGUGACUCUAGUAAAAAGAAUUCGCUUCUUAGUCCACC